rnacentral:rRNA from 1 species
AGUGAACGCUGGCGGUAGGCCUAACACAUGCAAGUCGAACGGCAGCACAGUAAGAGCUUGCUCUUACGGGUGGCGAGUGGCGGACGGGUGAGGAAUACAUCGGAAUCUACUUUUUCGUGGGGGAUAACGUAGGGAAACUUACGCUAAUACCGCAUACGACCUACGGGUGAAAGCAGGGGAUCUUCGGACCUUGCGCGAUUGAAUGAGCCGAUGUCGGAUUAGCUAGUUGGCGGGGCAAAGGCCCACCAAGGCGGCGAUCCGUAGCUGGUCUGAGAGGAUGAUCGGCCACACUGGAACUGAGACACGGUCCAGACUCCUACGGGAGGCAGCAGUGGGGAAUAUUAGGCAAUGGGCGCAAGCCUGAUCCAGCCAUACCGCGUGGGUGAAGAAGGCCUUCGGGUUGUAAAGCCCUUUUGUUGGGAAAGAAAAGCAGCAGGUUAAUACCCCGCUGUUCUGACGGUACCCAAAGAAUAAGCACCGGCUAACUUCGUG